rnacentral:rRNA from 1 species
UACGGGGGGGGCAAGCGUUGUUCGGAAUUACUGGGCGUAAAGGGCUCGUAGGUGGCCAACUAAGUCAGACGUGAAAUCCCUCGGCUUAACCGGGGAACUGCGUCCGAUACUGGUGGGCUUGAAUCCGGGAGAGGGAUGUGGAAUUCCAGGUGUAGCGGUGAAAUGCGUAGAUAUCUGGAGGAACACCGGUGGCGAAGGCGACAUCCUGGACCGGUAUUGACGCUGAGGCGCGAAAGCCAGGGGAGCAAACGGGGAUUAAGAAACC